CAGUAGCCGCGGUAAUACGUAGGUCCCGAGCGUUGUCCGGAUUUAUUGGGCGUAAAGCGAGCGCAGGCGGUUAGAUAAGUCUGAAGUUAAGGGCUGUGGCUUAACCAUAGUACGCUUUGGAAACUGUUUAACUUGAGUGCAAGAGGGGAGAGUGGAAUUCCAUGUGUAGCGGUGAAAUGCGUAGAUAUAUGGAGGAACACCGGUGGCGAAAGCGGCUCUCUGGCUUGUAACUGACGCUGAGGCUCGAAAGCGUGGGGAGCAAACAGGAUUAGAUACCCCCGUAGUCCCUGUCUCUUAUACA
rnacentral:rRNA from 1 species